ensembl:miRNA Mir6959 microRNA 6959
GUGCCUGGGAAACCUGUGUCUGGCUGUGAGUGUUUCCUGGGACCUGAUACUCACCGCACCGACCUGCUCUCCCAG